GACGAACGCUGGCGGCGUGCUUAACACAUGCAAGUCGAACGGAAAGGCCCUGCUUUUGUGGGGUGCUCGAGUGGCGAACGGGUGAGUAACACGUGAGUAACCUGCCCUUGACUUUGGGAUAACUUCAGGAAACUGGGGCUAAUACCGGAUAGGAGCUCCUGCUGCAUGGUGGGGGUUGGAAAGUUUCGGCGGUUGGGGAUGGACUCGCGGCUUAUCAGCUUGUUGGUGGGGUAGUGGCUUACCAAGGCUUUGACGGGUAGCCGGCCUGAGAGGGUGACCGGCCGCAUUGAGACUGAGAUACGGCCCAGACUCCUACGGGAGGCAGCAGUGGGGAAUAUUGCACAAUGGGCGGAAGCCUGAUGCAGCAACGCCGCGUGCGGGAUGACGGCCUUCGGGUUGUAAACCGCUUUCGCCUGUGACGAAGCGUGAGUGACGGUAAUGGGUAAAGAAGCACCGGCUAACUACG
rnacentral:rRNA from 1 species